UCCUCAGGACCUGGGGAUUCAGGGAGAAGACUCUACAGGAUGGUUGCUGUGAGCUUUGGGAUGCUGUGUGUUCUACAAAUCACUCUCAACAUCUCCCUGAGACUAGUCUAGAAAACCUGUUGCUCUAAUGGAUGGAUGAGGUUUGAAGGCAGCUGUUACUACAUCUCUACUUUCUACAUCUCCACUGUGAAGAACACCUGGGAUUACGCCAGACAGGACUGUCUGAGCAGAGGAGCAGACCUGGCGAUCAUAGAGAGCAAAGAUGAACAGAUGUUCAUCAAUGGGCUUAAAUCAGUCAGUCAUGUCUGGAUUGGUCUGACUGACUCUGUUACUGAGGGGACCUGGAAAUGGGUGGACGGAACCCCACUCACCACCCCAAGGUAUUGGAGGAGUGGAGAGCCUAAUGGUGGUGCAGUGCAGAACUGUGUGGUGGUACCUUACUGGUCAUCAGGCCAAGGAGAUUGGUGGGACGAUCAGUGUUCCAAUCCACAGUACUGGAUCUGUGAAAAAGGCCUUUUGUAGGUACUGCUGUUUAAGGAAUUCUGAAGACUGAUUAUAUAUUUUGGGAAAAUGACACUAUGAACGAGACGUUGGAGAGAGAGAGGCACUUACACACACACACACACACACACACACACACACACACACACACGGAAGCAUUCACACACAGAAAACAAAUGAGGUAUUUACACUACCAGUCAAACUUUUGGACACACCUAAUCAUUCCAGGGUUUUUUUUAUUCUACAUUGUAGAAUAAUAGUGAAGACAUGAAAACUAUAAAAUAACACAUAUGGAAUCAUGUAGUAACCAAAUAAGUGUUAAACAAAUCAAAUAUAUUUAAUAUUUCAGAUUCUUCCAAGUAGCCACCUUUUGCCUUGAUGACAGCUUUGCACACCCUUGACAUUCUCUCAACCAGCUUCAUGAGGUAGUCACCUGGAAUGCAUUUGUUAAAAGUGAAUUUGUGGAAUUUCUUUCCUUCUUAAUGCUUUUAGCCAAUAGUUUUGUUGUGACAAAGUAGGGGUGGUAUAAAGAAGAUAGUCUUUUACCAAAUAGGGUUAAGUCCAUAUUAUGACAAGAACAGCUAAAAUAAGCAAAGAAAAACGGCAGACCAUCAUUACUUUAGACAUGAAGGUCAGUCAAUCCGGAACAUUUCAAGAACUUUGAAAGUUUCUUCAAGUGCAGUCACAAAAACCAUCAAGCGCUAUGAUGAAACUGGCUCUCAUGAGGACUGCCACAGGAAAGGAAGACCCAAAGUUACCUCUGCUGCAGUUGAAAAGUUCAUUAGAGUUAAUUACACCUCAGAUUGGAGCCUAAAUAAAUGCUUCCUAAGUAAAUGAGUUCAAGUAACAGACACAUCCCAACAUCAACUGUUCAGAGGUGUAAGGGUUUUCCUGUGGUGAAGGAGAAGCGGACCAAAAUGCAGCGGGGUGGUUAUUCAUGUUCUUUAAUAAAGGAACUAGACAUGAAAUAACUAACAAAACAAUAAAUGUGGAAAACCAAAAACAGUCCUAUCUGGUGCAAACACAGAGACAGGAACAAUCACCCACAAACACACAGUGAAACCCAGGCUACCGAAGUAUGAUUCUCAAUCAGAGACAACUAAUGACACCUGCCUCUGAUUGAGAACCAUACUAGGCCGAAACAUAGAAAUACCCAAAACCUAGAAAAACAAACAUAGACUGCCCACCCAACUCACGCCCUGACCAUACUAAAUAAAUACAAAAGAAAGGAAAUAAAGGUCAGAACGUGAAAAGAGGAGACUGUGUGAAUCAGGCCUUCAUGGUCGAAUUGCUGCAAAAAAAACACUACAAAAUGACACCAAUAAUAAGAUGAGACUUGCUUGGGCCAAGAAAUACGAGCAAUUAAUAUUAGAAUGUUGAAAUCUGUCCUUUGGUCUGAUGAGUCCAAAUUUUAGAUUUCUGGUUCCAACCGCAGAGUCUUUGUGAGAUGCAGAAUAGGUGAACGGAUGAUCUCUACAUGUGUGGUUCCCAUCGUGAAGCAUGGAGGAGGAGGACAAUGAUCCAACACACCUCCAGGCUGUGUAAGGGCUAUUUGAUCAAGAAGGAGAGUCAUGGAGUGCUGCAUCAGAUGACCUGGCCUCCACAGUCACUUGACCUCAACCCAGUUGAGAUGGUUUUGGAUGAGUUGGACCGCAGAGUGAAGGAAAAGCAGUCAACAAGUGCUCUGCCUAUGUGGGAACUCAUUCAAGACUGUUGGAAAAGCAUUUCAGGUGAAGCUUGUUGAGAGAAUACCAAGAGUGUGCAAAGCUGUCAUCAAUGCAAUGGUUGGCUGCUUUGAAGAAUAUAAAAUAUAUUUUGAUUUGUUUAACACUUUUUUGGUUACUACAUGAUUCCAUAUAUGUUAUUUCAUAGUUUUGAUAUUGUCACUAUUAUUCUAAAAUGUAGAAAAUAGUACAAAUGAAGAAAAACCCUUGAAUGAGUAGGUGUGUCCAAACUUUUGACUGGUACUGUAUAUCACGUAGUAGCUGUUGUCAAUGUUAACAUUUAUAGUUCAUUAUAUAGCAUUGCAUGUAGGCUCUACACAAAUAUCUCUCUCUCUACCUCUAACUCUCCGUUGAUGGUUGGAUCCAUGAAUGUUUAAGUGAUGAUCCCCACCUAGUGGUUAAAGUGAGAGAUGAACUCACCAUGAACAACAUAGAGGUGAAACAGUGGUAUUACACACUUGUCUAUGGGUUUUUUCUCAAUUCAUCCUUCCUUGGUUUAUCCUCGCAUCCUCUCUCCUCCUUCUCAAAACACAUUGGAUAAUACAAUCCUCGGGGAGGGACCUUGGACCUUCUCCUCUAAUAGGGUUGAGCAGAAGGAGAGGAGAAAAGAGAAGAGGAAUCAGACUAUUGAGAUAGAGCCUUAACAGAGAGAGCCUUAAAGGAAGAAGAACAUUUUAAUUAGUGAUGGACAGAGAAAAAUAAUGUUAUGUUGAGAUUUAGAUGAGUGUGUAGACAUACUGUGCUCUAUAAUGCUUGUAUUCUGCUAAAUGUAUUCAUCAUUUUUCUAGAUUUUUUUUUUCAUUAUCAAUUAUUACCAUCAAUCACUUUUAUAAUAAGAAGAACAAAUGCACAGAUGAAUAAAUAAAGGAACAGUGUCCU